rnacentral:lncRNA from 1 species
CAGGAGUGCUGCUGGGUUCUGCAGAAGGCCCCACCAAACCUCGAGUGCACCCAGUGUGAGGUGUCCUGGGGAGUACCCAGAUCUGGGACCCCAGCACUGGGACAGCACUGAGCAGAGCGGGGAGUGGAGCUGAGGAAGAGGAAAAUGUAACCACGCACCCAAAGAGAGCACACAGUGUCUGUGCACUUUUGGAUGGCUGAAGGCAAAGCUGGAGGAGGGCUGCGAGAGCAGAUCAAGACAGAUCGCCGCAAAGCUCUGGCCAGCUCUGCCUUCCCAUUUAUUUGAAC